AAUACCACCACCUUCAGAGUUUGCUGAUCAGAGGAUGGAAACAAAGAUGCUCUUUGCCAUGCGGAAAAUGAUCUACAAGAUCUUUGGAGCCAUUAUACUGCACAUAAGAAGGCGGCCAAGAUCAAGGCUCUAUAUCCCAGUCUGGACCUUGAGCACAUUUACUCUCUUCCGCUGCACUUCUUCAAAUGCCAUCUCAGAUCCUCAGCUGUGGCUGAGGAGAAUGAGACAACUCACAAGGUCUAGAAGAGUUCUGGUUCCUGCCUCAAGAGAAGAAAAAGCUGCGUGAGAAACCAAGCAUGAGUGUGCAAAGAGUCAAAAUAUGGUAAGAGAGACAACAAGGUAAGAAUUUUGAUUAAAAAAGGUAUGGAUUG